rnacentral:rRNA from 1 species
AGAGUUUGAUUCUGGCUCAGGAUGAACGCUAGCUACAGGCUUAACACAUGCAAGUCGAGGGGAAACGACAUCGAAAGCUUGCUUUUGAUGGGCGUCGACCGGCGCACGGGUGAGUAACGCGUAUCCAACCUGCCCACCACUUGGGGAUAACCUUGCGAAAGUAAGACUAAUACCCAAUGACGUCUCUAGAAGACAUCUGAAAGAGAUUAAAGAUUUAUCGGUGAUGGAUGGGGAUGCGUCUGAUUAGCUUGUUGGCGGGGUAACGGCCCACCAAGGCAACGAUCAGUAGGGGUUCUGAGAGGAAGGUCCCCCACAUUGGAACUGAGACACGGUCCAAACUCCUACGGGAGGCAGCAGUGAGGAAUAUUGGUCAAUGGACGAGAGUCUGAACCAUCCAAGUAGCGUGCAGGAAGACGGCCCUAUGGGUUGUAAACUGCUUUUAAUAAGGGAAUAAAGAGAGUCUCGUGAGACUUUUUGCAUGUACCUUAAAAAAAAGGACCGGUUAAAUUCCCGUGCCAGCACCCCGCGGUAAUACAGAAAGUCCGGGCGUUUUCCGGGAAUUUAUUCGGGGUUUAAAGGGAGCGUAGGCCGGAAAUUAAACGUGUUGUGNNNUGUNGNUGCUCUCCUUCUGNNCUGCUGCGCGNNCUGGUUUCCUUGNGUNCGCUCUNNGUGGGCGGNNUUCGUGGUGUNGCGGUGNNNUGCUUNGNUNUCGCGNNGNNCUCCGNUUGCGNNGGCUGCUCUCUGGNGCGCUUCUGNCGCUGNNGCUCGNNNGUGCGGGUCUCGAAAAGGCUUCGNUCCCCUGGUNGUCCGCNCGGUCACCCCCAAAAGGGCGCUGUUGGUUUGAAUAGGUCCAGCGGCCAAGCGAAAGCAUUAUGCAUCCCCCCUGGGGGGUGCGCCGGCGGCGGGGAAACUCAAAGGAAUUGACGGGGGCCCGCACACGCGGGGGGACAUGUGGUUUUUUUUGAUGAUACGCGAGGGACCUUACCCGGGCGUGAAUUGCAGAGGAAG